AACGAUGAGAACUAGCUGUUGGGGUGCUUGUCACCUUAGUAGCGAAGCUAACGCGUUAAGUUCUCCGCCUGGGGAGUACGGCCGCAGGGUUAAAACUCAAAGAAAUUGACGGGGGCCCGCACAAGCGGUGGAGCAUGUGGUUUAAUUCGAUGCAACGCGAAGAACCUUACCUACUCUUGACAUCCUCGGAAUUCUCUAGAGAUAGAGAAGUGCCUUCGGGAACCGAGUGACAGGUGCUGCAUGGCUGUCGUCAGCUCGUGUCGUGAGAUGUUGGGUUAAGUCCCGUAACGAGCGCAACCCUCGUCCUUAGUUGCCAGCACGUAAUGGUGGGAACUCUAAGGAGACCGCCGGUGAUAAACCGGAGGAAGGUGGGGAUGAUGUCAAGUCAUCAUGGCCCUUACGAGUAGGGCUACACACGUGCUACAAUGG
rnacentral:rRNA from 1 species